rnacentral:rRNA from 1 species
GACGGAGGAUGCAAGCGUUAUCCGGAAUGAUUGGGCGUAAAGCGUCCGCAGGUGGCAGUUCAAGUCUGCUGUCAAAGACCGGGGCUUAACUUCGGAAAGGCAGUGGAAACUGAACAGCUAGAGUAUGGUAGGGGCAGAGGGAAUUCCUGGUGUAGCGGUGAAAUGCGUAGAUAUCGAGAGGAACACCUGCGGCGAAGGCGGGUUGCUGGGCCGACACUGACGCUGAUGCGCGAAAGCCAGGGGAGCGAACGGG